GCAGUAUUGUAUUGAUUCUGUUUUGGUUUUCGUUGGCGGCCCAAAAAUAGGCAAAUGAGCUGGCAAUAUGUCUUUAAAAUUCCCAGAAUGCGCCUAUGGAGUUGAUUAGUGGUUCACUGAGGCAGAUCUUACCCAGAGUCCCUCAGAGAGGAGACUUUCAAAACCUCCAGAAGAUCAAGCCUGUAGAGAUAUCCCAUAUACUCCAUGCACAGCUCUCAGAGACUGACAAAGUUGGCAACAGUGCAAGUGAGAAGUUACAGAGACUCUAUCUGCAGAACCAACAACAACAUG